UAUUUAACUACAAGUAUUGACGAUCGAUUUGUAUUAACUGAAUUGUAUGACGUGUGAAUUUAUAACUAUAAAAGUGUACUGAUAUUUACCACUAUUUGUUAUUAAACUAUUUAAUUUAAAAGCUAAAAGUAGAUCUCAGAGAAAGCAGACAAGAUGAAGGUGUUUCUACAUUACGGUCCUUACCAAAGAUGAAACGGUGUCUACCACUCGCAGAAACCUGUGGCUCCAUUGAUAAAUGGUCUGGGGUCACGUGGUUUUACGGUGGUGCCUGUUCAAGUAAAGAGACGUGAUACCUGUGAGCUGGUUGUAGACAAGAAAGUUGUUUGGAAGUGCUCGAUACCCGAUCUUCUUUUAGAUACAGUAAAGAACCAUACACUUACCACCAGUGCCAUCAGUGCAUUAGAAGCUGUGAAGAAUACGAAAGGACAAAUUAAAUCUUAGCUAACUAUCAUUAUAGAAAUUAUCAAGAUGAAAACUUUACACCCCCUGUGAGAACAUAUUUUGAAAAUAAUUCAUGUUAUUGAAAACUAUGGAAAUGCAUAUAUGACAUGGUUGUCUGAAAUAAAGAAUGGACAAAUAUUGAUGGCUUUGCUGAUCCAUUGGCUUUGAA